rnacentral:rRNA from 1 species
UACGUAGGAGGCAAGCGUUGUCCGGAAUCACUGGGCGUAAAGCGCGUGUAGGCGGAGCGGUAAGUCUGUUGUGAAAGCGCCUGGCUCAACCGGGCGAGGUCGGCGGAAACUGUCCGACUCGAGGACGGUAGAGGGGGGUGGAAUUCCCGGUGUAGUGGUGAAAUGCGUAGAGAUCGGGAGGAACACCUGUGGCGAAGGCGGCCCCCUGGGCCGGCCCUGACACUGAGACGCGAAGGCGUGGGGAGCGAACGGG